rnacentral:rRNA from 1 species
UACGUAGGGUGCAAGCGUUAAUCGGAAUUACUGGGCAUAAAGCGUGCGCAGGCGGUUUUGUAAGUCUGACGUGAAAUCCCCGGGCUCAACCUGGGAAUUGCGUUGGAGACUGCAAGGCUAGAAUCUGGCAGAGGGGGGUAGAAUUCCACGUGUAGCAGUGAAAUGCGUAGAGAUGUGGAGGAACACCGAUGGCGAAGGCAGCCCCCUGGGUCAAGAUUGACGCUCAUGCACGAAAGCGUGGGGAGCAAACAGG